AGUGAACGCUGGCGGUAGGCCUAACACAUGCAAGUCGAACGGCAGCACAGUAAGAGCUUGCUCUUACGGGUGGCGAGUGGCGGACGGGUGAGGAAUACAUCGGAAUCUACUUUUUCGUGGGGGUUAACGUAGGGAAACUUACGCUAAUACCGCAUACGACCUACGGGUGAAAGCAGUGGAUCUUCGGACCUUGCGCGAUUGAAUGAGUCGAUGUCGGAUUAGCUAGUUGGCGGGGUAAAGGCCCACCAAGGCGACGAUCCGUAGCUGGUCUGAGAGGAUGAUCAGCCACACUGGAACUGAGACACGGUCCAGACUCCUACGGGAGGCAGCAGUGGGGAAUAUUGGACAAUGGGCGCAAGCCUGAUCCAGCCAUACCGCGUGGGUGAAGAAGGCCUUCGGGUUGUAAAGCCCUUUUGUUGGGAAAGAAAAGCAGCAGGUUAAUACCCCGCUGUUCUGACGGUACCCAAAGAAUAAGCACCGGCUAACUUCGUG
rnacentral:rRNA from 1 species